rnacentral:rRNA from 1 species
AUUGAACGCUGGCGGCAGGCCUAACACAUGCAAGUCGAACGGUAACAGGAAGCAGCUUGCUGCUUUGCUGACGAGUGGCGGACGGGUGAGUAAUGUCUGGGAAACUGCCCGAUGGAGGGGGAUAACUACUGGAAACGGUAGCUAAUACCGCAUAAUGUCGCAAGACCAAAGAGGGGGACCUUCGGGCCUCUUGCCAUCGGAUGUGCCCAGAUGGGAUUAGCUUGUUGGUGAGGUAACGGCUCACCAAGGCGACGAUCCCUAGCUGGUCUGAGAGGAUGACCAGCCACACUGGAACUGAGACACGGUCCAGACUCCUACGGGAGGCAGCAGUGGGGAAUAUUGCACAAUGGGCGCAAGCCUGAUGCAGCCAUGCCGCGUGUAUGAAGAAGGCCUUCGGGUUGUAAAGUACUUUCAGCGGGGAGGAAGGGGGUAAGGUUAAUAACCUUAGCCAUUGACGUUACCCGCAGAAGAAGCACCGGCUAACUCCGUGCCAGCAGCCGCGGUAAUACGGAGGGUGCAAGCGUUAAUCGGAACUACUGGGCGUAAAGCGCACGCAGGCGGUCUGUCAAGUCGGAUGUGAAAUCCCCGGGCUCAACCUGGGAACUGCAUUCGAAACUGGCAGGCUUGAGUCUCGUAGAGGGGGGUAGAAUUCCAGGUGUAGCGGUGAAAUGCGUAGAGAUCUGGAGGAAUACCGGUGGCGAAGGCGGCCCCCUGGACGAAGACUGACGCUCAGGUGCGAAAGCGUGGGGAGCAAACAGGAUUAGAUACCCUGGUAGUCCACGCCGUAAACGAUGUCUAUUUGGAGGUUGUGCCCUUGAGGCGUGGCUUCCGGAGCUAACGCGUUAAAUAGACCGCCUGGGGAGUACGGCCGCAAGGUUAAAACUCAAAUGAAUUGACGGGGGCCCGCACAAGCGGUGGAGCAUGUGGUUUAAUUCGAUGCAACGCGAAGAACCUUACCUGGUCUUGACAUCCACAGAAUUUCUCAGAGAUGAGGAAGUGCCUUCGGGAACUGUGAGACAGGUGCUGCAUGGCUGUCGUCAGCUCGUGUUGUGAAAUGUUGGGUUAAGUCCCGCAACGAGCGCAACCCUUAUCCUUUGUUGCCAGCGAUUCGGUCGGGAACUCAAAGGAGACUGCCAGUGAUAAACUGGAGGAAGGUGGGGAUGACGUCAAGUCAUCAUGGCCCUUACGACCAGGGCUACACACGUGCUACAAUGGCAUAUACAAAGAGAAGCGACCUCGCGAGAGCAAGCGGACCUCAUAAAGUAUGUCGUAGUCCGGAUUGGAGUCUGCAACUCGACUCCAUGAAGUCGGAAUCGCUAGUAAUCGUGGAUCAGAAUGCCACGGUGAAUACGUUCCCGGGCCUUGUACACACCGCCCGUCACACCAUGGGAGUGGGUUGCAAAAGAAGUAGGUAGCUUAACCUUCGGGAGGGCGCUUACCACUUUGUGAUUCAUGACUGGGGUGA